CUCAACCUGGGAACUGCGGCCGAUACUGCCUUGCUUGAGUGUGAGAGGGGAGAGUGGAACUUCCAGUGGAGCGGUGAAAUGCGUAGAUAUUGGAAGGAACGCCGGUGGCGAAAGCGACUCUCUGGCUCAUUACUGACGCUGAGGAGCGAAAGCUAGGGUAGCGAACGGGAUUAGAUACCCCGGUAGUCCUAGCCGUAAACGAUGGGCACUAGGUGGAGGGGAUCCCAUAUCCUCUCUUCCGAAGCUAAUGUGUUAAGUGCCCCGCCUGGGGAGUAUGGUCGCAAGGCUGAAACUCAAAGGAAUUGACGGGGGCUCGCACAAGCGGUGGAGGAUGUUGCUUAAUUCGAAGCAACGCGAAGAACCUUACCUGGGUUGAACUACGUGCUUACAUCCCUGUGAAAGCAGGGUGCCUUCGGGGUGCA
rnacentral:rRNA from 1 species